UCCUGAAUAUGCAUUACAACAAAGCAUUUUGUGAAAUUAUUGAUUGAUCUCCAUGAACAACAAACAUCAGAUCAACCUUCGUUAAACAUGAAAAAUUAUUAUCCAUCAAACUUCCCUUAGCUGUUCUCCUUAACUAAAGAAAGGAUGUGUUUUGCAAUCUCUGCAGAAGCAUCAGGUUUUGCAGCAUUCAGAGCCCUCUGGGACAUCUCUGCUAGUAAUCUCUCAUCCAC
rnacentral:lncRNA from 1 species